AUUGAACGCUGGCGGCAGGCUUAACACAUGCAAGUCGAGCGGGGGAAGGUAGCUUGCUACCGGACCUAGCGGCGGACGGGUGAGUAAUGCUUAGGAAUCUGCCUAUUAGUGGGGGACAACAUCUCGAAAGGGAUGCUAAUACCGCAUACGUCCUACGGGAGAAAGCAGGGGAUCUUCGGACCUUGCGCUAAUAGAUGAGCCUAAGUCGGAUUAGCUAGUAGGUGGGGUAAAGGCCUACCAAGGCGACGAUCUGUAGCGGGUCUGAGAGGAUGAUCCGCCCCACUGGGACUGAGACACGGCCCAGAAUCCUACGGGAGGCAGCAGUGGGGAAUAUUGGACAAUGGGGGGAACCCUGAUCCAGCCAUGCCGCGUGUGUGAAGAAGGCCUUAUGGUUGUAAAGCACUUUAAGCGAGGAGGAGGCUACUUUAGUUAAUACCUAGAGAUAGUGGACGUUACUCGCAGAAUAAGCACCGGCUAACUCUGUGCCAGCCGCCGCCGUAA
rnacentral:rRNA from 1 species